rnacentral:rRNA from 1 species
GCAGUCGAGCGGACAGAUGGGAGCUUGCUCCCUGAUGUCAGCGGCGGACGGGUGAGUAACACGUGGGUAACCUGCCUGUAAGACUGGGAUAACUCCGGGAAACCGGGGCUAAUACCGGAUGCUUGAUUGAACCGCAUGGUUCAAUUAUAAAAGGUGGCUUUUAGCUACCACUUACAGAUGGACCCGCGGCGCAUUAGCUAGUUGGUGAGGUAACGGCUCACCAAGGCAACGAUGCGUAGCCGACCUGAGAGGGUGAUCGGCCACACUGGGACUGAGACACGGCCCAGACUCCUACGGGAGGCAGCAGUAGGGAAUCUUCCGCAAUGGACGAAAGUCUGACGGAGCAACGCCGCGUGAGUGAUGAAGGUUUUCGGAUCGUAAAACUCUGUUGUUNNNGAAGAACAAGUACCGUUCGAAUAGGGCGGUACCUUGACGGUACCUAACC